AUUGAACGCUGGCGGCAGGCCUAACACAUGCAAGUCGAGCGGAUGAAGGGAGCUUGCUCCUGGAUUCCGCGGCGGACGGGUGAGUAAUGCCUAGGAAUCUGCCUGGUAGUGGGGGAUAACGUCCGGAAACGGGCGCUAAUACCGCAUACGUCCUGAGGGAGAAAGUGGGGGAUCUUCGGACCUCACGCUAUCAGAUGAGCCUAGGUCGGAUUAGCUAGUUGGUGGGGUAAAGGCCUACCAAGGCGACGAUCCGUAACUGGUCUGAGAGGAUGAUCAGUCACACUGGAACUGAGACACGGUUCAGACUCCUACGGGAGGCAGCAGUAGGGAAUAUUGGACAAUGGGCGAAAGCCUGAUGCAGCCAUGCCGCGUGUGUGAAGAAGGUCUUCGGAUUGUAAAGCACUUUAAGUUGGGAGGAAGAGCAGUAAGUUAAUACCUUGCUGUUUUGACGUUACCAACAGAGUAAGCACCGGCUAACUUCGUG
rnacentral:rRNA from 1 species